CCCUUAGAUGUCCGGGGCCGCACGCGCGCUACAAUGGAUGAGUCAACGCGUCAUCCUGGCCCGAAAGGGUUGGGGAACCGCUGAACCUCAUCCGUGGUUGGGAUUGGGGUUUGUAAUUAUUCCCCAUGAACUAGGAAUUCCCAGUAAGCGCGAGUCAUAAGCUCGCGUUGAUUACGUCCCUGCCCUUUGUACACACCGCCCGUCGCUACUACCGAUUGGAUGGUUUAGUGAGAUCCUCGGAUUGGUCACGGCACGGUGGCAACACUGCGUCGGUGUGCCGAGAAGACGAUCAAACUUGAUCAUCUAGAGGAAGUAAAAGUCGUAACA
rnacentral:rRNA from 1 species